rnacentral:rRNA from 1 species
UCCAGACUCCUACGGGAGGCAGCAGUGGGGAAUAUUGGGCAAUGGGCGCAAGCCUGACCCAGCAACGCCGCGUGAAGGAAGAAGGCUUUCGGGUUGUAAACUUCUUUUCUCAGGGACGAAGCAAGUGACGGUACCUGAGGAAUAAGCCACGGCUAACUACGUGCCAGCAGCCGCGGUAAUACGUAGGUGGCAAGCGUUAUCCGGAUUUACUGGGUGUAAAGGGCGUGUAGGCGGGAAAGCAAGUCAGAUGUGAAAACCACGGGCUCAACCUGUGGCCUGCAUUUGAAACUGUUUUUCUUGAGUACUGGAGAGGCAGACGGAAUUCCUAGUGUAGCGGUGAAAUGCGUAGAUAUACGGAGGAACACCAGUGGCGAAGGCGGAUUGCUGGACGACAACUGAUGGUGAGGCGCGAAAGCGUGGGGAGCAAACAGGAUUAGAUACCCCGGUAU